UUCAUUGAUGGUUUGGAGUCUCUGGACAUGUAGCAUUCUGGGAAUUUUUUUUCCCGUGGAUUCUAGCAUUUUCUCGAGAUUCGACAUCUUCCUAUGUUUUUAAUUCUGAUCUUAUGUUUGGAUAUUUUAGAUCU
rnacentral:sRNA from 1 species